rnacentral:misc_RNA from 1 species
AACGCACAUUGCGCCCCUUGGUAUUCCGAGGGGCAUGCCUGUUCGAGCGUCAUUACAACCCUCAAGCAUUGCUUGGUAUUGGGCUCCGCUGUUCACCCAGCGGGCCUUAAAAUCAGUGGCAGUGCCAUCGAGGCCCUGAGCGUAGUAAAUAUCCUCGCUAUAGGGACCCGGUGGACGCUGGCCAUCAACCCCCAACUUUCUAAGUUUGACCUCGGAUCAGGUAGGGAUACCCGCUGAACUUAA